GAAUUGAAUUCUUGUAAAAUUCUAAAUUCUAAACAGAGAUAUUUAGAUUCGUGUAUUAUUUUAUACAUUUUUAUUGAUUUUGUACGCAACUUGAUACAAAUAUUUAAUCUGAUGGUUGUUAAACUCAUUUUAUUAGAUUCACUGUUUUUUUAAAAAGUAAUCAUAUCAUAUUGAUUUGAAGUGAAUUAAUAUAGGGGUAGAAUCAGUCGAAACAGA
rnacentral:misc_RNA from 1 species